GAAAUUUAAUUCAUAAAUUGGCAUUAAUAUAUCUAGCCUUUAUUAGACCCUCUAGUUAAAAGUUGAAUGUAAAUAGCACAUUAACAUCCUUAUUUAGGUUUUUGAUAUCUGCUCUAAAACUCAUGACACAGGAAAAAGUACUUUUAAUCAAAAAUAAGGCCCACUCUUUCCGGUGUGGAGUCUGGAGACAACGUGCAGAAAUGGCACCUCGAAAGGGGAAGGAAAAGGAAGAACAGGUCAUCAGCCUCUGACCUCAGGUGGCUGAAGGCAAAAACGUAUUUGGUGUCUGCCAUAUCGUUGCAUCCUUCAAUGACACUUUUGUCCAUGUCACUGAUCUUUCUGGCAAAGAAACCCUCUGCCGUGUGACUGGUGGGAUGAAGGUGAAGGCAGACUGAGAUGAAUCCUCGCCAUAUGCUGCUAUGUUGGCUGCCCAGGAUGUGGCUCAGAGGUGCAAGGAACUCUGGGCCACAGGAGGCAAUAGGACCAAGACCCCCGGACCUGGGGCCCAGUCGGCCCUCAGAGCCCUUGCCCCCUCUGGUAUGAAGAUGGGGCAGAUUGAGGACGUCACCCCCAUCCCCUUUGGCAGCACCCACAGGAAGAGGGGUCGCCGUGGUCGCUCUCUGUGAACAAGACUCCUCAAAAUAUUUUCUGUUAAUAAAUUGCCUUCAUG